CAGGGAUAAAUGCAAAAAAUACUGUACUUGCCAACUUGAUUCAAGUGCCUGUAAGUACUUUACUUUAACAUAUAUUAACAUGUUGGGGGCAACUCUCCCGGCCUUGCAUGCUGUGGUGGAGGGCGUGUGUGGGUAUGCAGCAGUGCCCAGGGUGGUGGAGGCAGGCGGGUGGCUAGCAGUUACUGCACACGUGUUGAUUUUGCUCUGUGAUGUUCUUGUGUUUUGAUGAUCAGCUGUUCUGAGCGUCGCCAUUCAGCCAUCUUGACGCUCACCUUCCUCCCUCUCCACCUCCUCGGGCCCUUCCCAGACAUACACAUGCCCCUCACCACCAUGUAGGCCAGGGGCGGCAGCUGCAGGACACUGAGCAGAGUUAACAAGUUGAGCUUCCAAGUUGAAGUCUUCCAAACAGCCAAACAGUGUGUGUGUGUGUGUGU